rnacentral:rRNA from 1 species
GAUGAACGCUGGCGGCGUGCCUAAUACAUGCAAGUCGAGCGAACGGACGAGAAGCUUGCUUCUCUGAUGUUAGCGGCGGACGGGUGAGUAACACGUGGAUAACCUACCUAUAAGACUGGGAUAACCUCGGGAAACCGGAGCUAAUACCGGAUAAUAUUUUGAACCGCAUGGUUCAAAAGUGAAAGACGGUCUUGCUGUCACUUAUAGAUGGAUCCGCGCUGCAUUAGCUAGUUGGUAAGGUAACGGCUUACCAAGGCAACGAUGCAUAGCCGACCUGAGAGGGUGAUCGGCCACACUGGAACUGAGACACGGUCCAGACUCCUACGGGAGGCAGCAGUAGGGAAUCUUCCGCAAUGGGCGAAAGCCUGACGGAGCAACGCCACGUGAGUGAUGAAGGUCUUCGGAUCGUAAAACUCUGUUAUUAGGGAAGAACAUAUGUGUAAGUAACUGUGCACAUCUUGACGGUACCUAAUCAGAAAGCCACGGCUAACUACGUG